rnacentral:sRNA from 1 species
ACUUUAACGUAUUUGUCCUCAGAA